rnacentral:rRNA from 1 species
AUGCCGGUGCCCGACGAGGAGGAGCGUCUCCUGCAAUGGGUGUACUAUCGCUCCCUUACCACAGCGGAGACGGAUGCCCGGCGGCUCCGGAGGAUCAAUGCCAAGCAGCUCCGGCUUGACAUUGAGCAAUCUGAGUGGGAGGCGGCGGCGACAGUGGUGAAGGCGACGAGGGUGGCCAAGCUCAAGCGCAAGCAAGACCGCAUCGUUCGGCGUUUGCAAGGCUACAUCAUCAUUUCCUCCUUUGACGGGUCCGACUCCGACGGCUCCGACGUCGACCCACCUCCUGCUCCUGUUGCUGAGGCCACAACAGCGCUGCCGAUCGGAAGGGCAAAGGGCCGACGAGGAAGUGGUGAAGCUCGCCCUCUCCUUUUAUAUUAUUCUAGUUCUAGUAUGUAG